AAAGCCUAUAGUUAGAGAUUAGCGGGCAGUUUGCGAUUGGUUAAGCCUAAGUUUCGUUUUACUGUUUUCAUUGAGUGGGGCUUUUCUUUGCUUAGGAACCUGAGGUGUUGGAGCUGUCUCAGCCUAAUGGGCUCCCAACGAAUUAUAAUAAUAAGAGGAGGAGCAGCUGCAGCCCGGCACAGCACACUCGCACGAGGAUCUGUCUUCCCGUAGUUUCUUCUGAGUGGUUUCUGUUCUGCCUGCUGCAGGGGGUACCUUUGGUGGACACUGUGAUGUGUCACCCAGAUGCCCCUUGGCCAAAAAACGUGCUUCCCUAGCUUGUGGGAAUGCUGUCUACAGACCAAUCUGUCAGCCCCUUCAGGGUUUGCUUCAGCGGCAGAGAGCUGCUUCACCAUGGAGACAGCCAGCCACUCAGGAGAGAAGUUCCUGAGUGGGAGGCGGAACAGCAGGAAGAGGUGAGAAUGUGCCUCCAGGAACCAGCACUGGAAAUUCCCACUCGGCUGAGGAAUGCACAGGCAUUCCUGGAGCUGCACAGAAGCACAUUGUGGAAGCUGGGAUGUCCCUGGGGAAACAUAGGUGCCAGCAAUUCCUGAGCCCCUACCUGAAUGACACAUGAUGUACGUGACCCUAUCAUUGCCACACCCUAUCUACCCUGCCUCCAGUCACCAACCACCAAGACCACGCCCUACCUACCCUGUCCGCAGAUUUGCAACUCAAUAAAAGUGAGAGCGUCCGGGCA
rnacentral:lncRNA from 13 species